GGAGCAGCAAGCCGAGCCGGCCGGCCGGCACCUGGUGUUUGGUUGGUGAGGAGAUGGCGUCGCCGUCGGCGUCGCGGCGCGUGACCGGAGGCGGCAGCUACAUCGCGUCGUGGCUCGUCAAGCUCCUCCUCACCCGGGGCUACGCCGUGAACGCCACCGUCCGUGAUCCAGGCGACCCCAAGAACGCCCACCUGGGCCGGCUGGACGGGGCAGCGGGGAACCUGCGCCUGUUCAAGGCCGACAUGCUUGACCCCGACGCGCUGGCGACCGCGGUCGCCGGGUGCGAGGGGGUCUUCCAUGUCGCGUCUCCCGUGCCCUCGGUUAAGGCUGUCGACCCUGAGUCAGUGUACAUGAGCCACAUUUCGUAGCAGAGUUCCCUGAUACACUACUGUGAAGAUGCAAGUUUCUUACCGGAAUUGUGUAUCCUAUUGAGUUUUACUCAUUAAGCAUCGGAUAUUUCUAAUUGUUUGCCUUGACCCUUAACAAUGCAGUCAGAAGUAUUGGCACCAGCUGUUAAAGGCACCUUGAACAUUCUUCAGGCUUGCUCAGCUAACAAUGUUCAGAAGGUGGUUGUGGUUUCAUCCACUUCUGCCGUUCAUUUUAACCCGAAUUGGCCUCAAGGCAAGCCGAAAGAUGAAAGUUGCUGGUCAGACAGAGAUUUAUGCUUGAAGAACAAGGUUAGUUUGUUGGGGCACUGAAUUGCUGUCAGUAAAGGAAGUUCACCAGAGCACCACAAAGCACAUGCUUGAAGAUGAACAUCUAAUUUAGUUUGCUUAUUAGACAGAUGCUCCCAAUUGAUUUUCUAGUUUCUGAUUAUAAGUAUAUUUCAGUUAGCAAUUCUUGUUACUACUGAUUGCUACUAGGGAGGAUUAGGCUAAUCCUAACCUUGUUCGGCUGGCUGGACUGGUAUAUGGCUGCCAAGACUCUUGCCGAAGAGAAAGCCUUGGAGUAUGCAGAGAAAAAUGGACUAAAUGUUGUUACAGUUUGCCCUUGUCUGGUUUUAGGCCCACUCCUGCAGCCAGCUGUUAGUGCCAGCAAUGAAUUCUUCAUCUAUGUUAUAAAAGGUUGUGUAUGUAUUUUUCUGUUACUUACCAUUCAUUGUUCUUUAUUAUCAGGAUAGCUAGCCCAUUAACACAUGCUCCUGCACAAACUAAUAACUGUAAACUUAGGCCACGUUAGUAUUAGAAGUUCAUAUAUAAAUUUAGACUCACAGUUAACCAAAUUUGUUUAUCCUUGUGCUCUUUUUAUUUAUUUUAACACAAUACCCAUAUAGAUACUUUGUAAUCUCUAUCCGGUUGAUGAUAAGCUUUGGCUACCAAUUACUCGGUUCAUUAUCUUCCCAUUCAUAUUCUUUUUUUCUUCGCAUGUUAAUUAAGUUGAAACUCUAGUGCUUACUAUACCUCUUGUUAAAAAAUUCUUUAUAUAUUUUACUAAGAAUAUGGAUUCUAGGUCCUAGACUCACUCUUUGUUACUGUGAUAGCAUAAACAGGCAUCUCAGCCUGCACCACAACGCUUAAGAUGUUCGAUUUGCACUAUCAAAGAAUUAUGAGUGUAAUGGUAUUUUUUUUUCUUAUAGAAGUAUACCAUUGAAUUUCAACUAACAUAAUUUAUUGUCAUGGAGUACUAAUAUAAUUAUAUUUAAAAUGCAUUGCUAUAAACUUAUAAUUAUAUUUAAGAAACAGUUUUAUGAUCGCUAAACUAUGAAAAAUAUAUUUAUCGUUCAUGCAUCAUGAGUCUAUAUGGUCUGAAUUGCGGAUUGCGGCACAUAGCGUUACCAGAUCAAUGGUUGGAUGUUUCUGUUUUUUUUUGUCAUAAUUGCUAGGAUUUAUCUCUUUUUAUAAUGCAUUUUGUGAGGACUAACGUGGAGGCUUUACAAGGAAUAUCCAUUUAGUAAUAGUAAGAAUACAUGUAUGUAUGGUGAUUUCAGUGUCUUUGAUUGGGAAACAUACUGGUAUUAAUAACCAAGUGUAUGGUUGAAGUUUUAGAUGGGAUCAGAGUACACUGGCAGUAGUGUUAGUUUCCUCUCUUGAAUUACAUUCAAGGAAGAUCCUUCAUGGUAUUGUCAUCAUCUUGGGUUACUGACUUACUGGGGCCUUGAGUACUGGAUGGACCCCUAGACGCCGACGUGUUCUACACCUACAAUGUGUACACAGUUUCUCUCUCAUGUAAAUUAUCAGGAAAAACAAUAGUUUAUUUCAGAAAAAGUAACCAUUCUCUACCUUCUAAUGUAAACUUCUAGCAUCUGAUAUCUUUUCAGCAGUGACUGUAGGUAUCUCUAUUCAUUGUUAAUUCUAAUAUUAAAUCAAGUAUGUUUUUAUUUUCUAUUUUGUCGUGGUUCUGCUGAAUCAUACUCAUUCCUCUUAAAUGCACGCUAAACUACAAUAGUUUACAUGGCUUAACUACAGAAGUUUACGUAACACUGCUGAAUUCUCUUAGCUUGAUUAUAUUAAGGAGGUCCUACUAUAAUGAACAACUUGCUGUGGCAUGUAGUUAAUGUCCGUGAUGUGGCUGAUGCUUUGCUCCUGGUAUACGAGAAAGCGGAAUCAUCUGGGAGAUACCUCUGUGCACCAGAUCGAGUUAGCACAAAAGAUCUACUGAACAUUUUGAAGAAAACUCACCCUAACUACAACUGCGUAAACUGUGACAAUGAUUCGGAUCUUAAAUCUAUAAUCACACGAAUUACGUCGGAGAAACUGAAGAAUCUGGGCUGGAAACCAAGGACAAUAGAGGAAACAUUGUCUGAUAGCAUUGAAUACUACGAGAAGGCAGGGCUUCUGCAGGAUGUGGAGGGAUGUCCUUGCCGUCUUCCUCAUCCUUUUCAUCUGGCUAUAGAUAAAUGAAACAAACUGUUUAUUGCUUCUCCUUUUAUCUAAUUACACAGAACAUUGUUGAUUGAUACAUUAUAUCAUACACCAAUAAUGCAUAUGUGUUGAGGGACUUGCUUUAAUUGUUCACUGUCAGCUAGAUGUAGUUGUGUACAAUGAUUGUUCACAUCACCCAUUCAAUAUAGAAUGAGUUAUCUGUAUGUACUC